GACGAACGCUGGCGGCGUGCUUAACACAUGCAAGUCGAACGGACAGGCCCCUUUGGGGGUACUCGAGUGGCGAACGGGUGAGUAACACGUGAGUAACCUGCCCUUGCCUUCGGGAUAACUUCAGGAAACUGGGGCUAAUACCGGUUAGGAAUCCUUGCUGCAUGGUGGGGGUUGGAAAGCUUCGGCGGUUUUGGAUGGACUCGCGGCUUAUCAGCUUGUUGGUGGGGUAGUGGCUUACCAAGGCUUUGACGGGUAGCCGGCCUGAGAGGGCGACCGGCCACAUUGGGACUGAGGUACGGCCCAGACUCCGACGGGAGGCAGCAGUGGGGAAGAUUGCACAAUGGGCGGAGGCCGGAUGCAGCAGCGCCGCGGGCGGGAUGACGGCCUUCGGGUUGUAAACCGCUUGCAGCAGGGGCGAAGCUUGUGGUGACGGUACCUGAAGAAGAAGCACCGGCUAACUACGUG
rnacentral:rRNA from 1 species